AGUUGAGAAGCUUGCUGGAGGUAUCAGAAGUGCGAAUGCUGACAUGAGUAACGACAAUGGGUGUGAAAAACACCCACGCCGAAAGACCAAGGGUUCCUGCGCAACGUUAAUCGACGCAGGGUUAGUCGGUUCCUAAGGCGAGGCUGAAAAGCGUAGUCGAUGGGAAACAGGUUAAUAUUCCUGUACUUCUGGUUACUGCGAUGGAGGGACGGAGAAGGCUAGGCCAGCUUGGCGUUGGUUGUCCAAGUUUAAGGUGGUAGGCUGAAAUCUUAGGUAAAUCCGGGGUUUCAAGGCCGAGAGCUGAUGACGAGUCGUCUUUUAGAUGACGAAGUGGUUGAUGCCAUGCUUCCAAGAAAAGCUUCUAAGCUUCAGGUAACCAGGAACCGUACCCCAAACCGACACAGGUGGUCGGGUAGAGAAUACCAAGGCGCUUGAGAGAACUCGGGUGAAGGAACUAGGCAAAAUGGCACCGUAACUUCGGGAGAAGGUGCGCCGGCUAGGGUGAAGGAUUUACUCCGUAAGCUCUGGCUGGUCGAAGAUACCAGGCCGCUGCGACUGUUUAUUAAAAACACAGCACUCUGCAAACACGAAAGUGGACGUAUAGGGUGUGACGCCUGCCCGGUGCCGGAAGGUUAAUUGAUGGGGUUAGCGCAAGCGAAGCUCUUGAUCGAAGCCCCGGUAAACGGCGGCCGUAACUAUAACGGUCCUAAGGUAGCGAAAUUCCUUGUCGGGUAAGUUCCGACCUGCACGAAUGGCGUAACGAUGGCGGCGCUGUCUCCACCCGAGACUCAGUGAAAUUGAAAUCGCUGUGAAGAUGCAGUGUAUCCGCGGCUAGACGGAAAGACCCCGUGAACCUUUACUGUAGCUUUGCACUGGACUUUGAGCCUGCUUGUGUAGGAUAGGUGGGAGGCUUUGAAGCGUGGACGCCAGUUCGCGUGGAGCCAUCCUUGAAAUACCACCCUGGCAUGCUUGAGGUUCUAACUCUGGUCCGUGAUCCGGAUCGAGGACAGUGUAUGGUGGGCAGUUUGACUGGGGCGGUCUCCUCCUAAAGAGUAACGGAGGAGUACGAAGGUGCGCUCAGACCGGUCGGAAAUCGGUCGCAGAGUAUAAAGGCAAAAGCGCGCUUGACUGCGAGACAGACACGUCGAGCAGGUACGAAAGUAGGUCUUAGUGAUCCGGUGGUUCUGUAUGGAAGGGCCAUCGCUCAACGGAUAAAAGGUACUCCGGGGAUAACAGGCUGAUACCGCCCAAGAGUUCAUAUCGACGGCGGUGUUUGGCACCUCGAUGUCGGCUCAUCACAUCCUGGGGCUGAAGCCGGUCCCAAGGGUAUGGCUGUUCGCCAUUUAAAGUGGUACGCGAGCUGGGUUUAGAACGUCGUGAGACAGUUCGGUCCCUAUCUGCCGUGGACGUUUGAGAUUUGAGAGGGGCUGCUCCUAGUACGAGAGGACCGGAGUGGACGAACCUCUGGUGUUCCGGUUGUCACGCCAGUGGCAUUGCCGGGUAGCUAUGUUCGGAAAAGAUAACCGCUGAAAGCAUCUAAGCGGGAAACUUGCCUCAAGAUGAGAUCUCACUGGGAACUUGAUUCCCCUGAAGGGCCGUCGAAGACUACGACGUUGAUAGGCUGGGUGUGUAAGCGUUGU
rnacentral:rRNA from 1 species